CAGCAUAACCAUUAAUGCUUAAUUUUGCAAAGUUUUAAAUAAUUUGAUAGCAAAUUACUUAGAGAAUGGCCCAUAUUUAUAUAUGUAUUAAAUGUUAUUAAUAUUAUUACUCAUUGUUUUCCCCUCUCCACUUUUCUUUGUUUUGCAGAUCGUAAAAAGGACCUUGUAAAACUACAGGCAGGAGAGUAUGUUUCUCUUGGGAAAGUAGAGGCAGCUUUGAAGAAUCUUCCACUAGUAGAUAACAUUUGUGCAUAUGCAAACAGUUACCAUUCUUAUGUCAUUGGAUUUGUUGUGCCAAAUCAAAAGGAACUAACUGAACUAGCUCGAAAGAAAGGACUUAAAGGGACUUGGGAGGAGCUGUGUAACAGUUGUGAAAUGGAAAAUGAGGUACUUAAAGUGCUUUCCGAAGCUGCUAUUUCAGCAAGUCUGGAAAAGUUUGAAAUUCCAGUAAAAAUUCGUUUGAGUCCUGAACCGUGGACCCCUGAAACUGGUCUGGUGACAGAUGCCUUCAAGCUGAAACGCAAAGAGCUUAAAACACAUUACCAGGCGGACAUUGAGCGAAUGUAUGGAAGAAAAUAAUUAUUCUCUUCUGGCAUCAGUUUGCUACAGUGAGCUCAGAUCAAAUAGGAAAAUACUUGAAAUGCAUGUCUCAAGCUGCAAGGCAAACUCCAUUCCUCAUAUUAAACUAUUACUUCUGAUGACGUCACCAUUUUUAACUGACAGGAUUAGUAAAACAUUAAGACAGCAAA
rnacentral:sRNA from 1 species